CCCUUAGAUGUUCUGGGCUGCACGCGCGCUACACUGAUGCGUUCAACGAGUGUAUAACCUUGCCCGAUAGGGUUGGGUAAUCUUUUGAACACGCAUCGUGAUGGGGAUAGAUUAUUGCAAUUAUUAAUCUUCAACGAGGAAUUCCUAGUAAUGAUGAAUCAUCAGUUCAUCGUGAUUACGUCCCUGCCCUUUGUACACACCGCCCGUCGCUCCUACCGAUUGAAUGGUCCGGUGAAGCCUCCGGAUUGGCGCGCACCUCGGUGCCGCCGAGAAGUUGGCUAAACCUUACCAUUUAGAGGAAGGUGAAGUCGUAACA
rnacentral:rRNA from 1 species